rnacentral:rRNA from 1 species
CAAUAGCGUAUAUUAAAGUUGUUGUGGUUAAAAAGCUCGUAGUUGGAUUUCUGCUGAGGACGACCGGUCCGCCCUCCGGGUGAGCAUCUGGUUCGGCCUUGGCAUCUUCUUGGCGAACGUAUCUGCACUUGACUGUGUGGUGCGGUGCCCAGGACUUUUACUUUGAGGAAAUUAGAGUGUUUCAAGCAGGCAUACGCCUUGAAUACAUUAGCAUGGGAUAAUGAAAUAGGACUUUGGUGCUAUUUUGUUGGUUUCGAACACCGAAGUAAUGAUUAACAGGGACAGUCAGGGGCACUCGUAUUCCGCCGAGAGAGGUGAAAUUCUCAGACCAGCGGAAGACGAACCACUGCGAAAGCAUUUGCCAGGGAUGUUUUCACUGAUCAAGAACGAAAGUUAGGGGAUCGAAGACGAUUAGAUACCGU